AAUAAAAAAAUUAUUUAUUAUAUGCACACAGAACGGCGUGCCACAAUUAGCAUAUAUAUAGAUAUAUUAAUUGUUAUAGAAAUUGUGGCCCAAAUGGCCUUUUAAACGGUAGGCCCACCUGGAGGCCCACUAAAUCGACCCACCUGGCAGGCCCACCACUCGACCCAACCCAGGUUUCCUACCUAUUUAAAACCUAACACUAACCCUAACUCUCUCAUUUCUCUCCCCCUCUCUUCUGUGCCGUCUGCUUUCUCUCUCCCUCCCUCUCCCUAUUUUCCGACUGAUUUUCUUUUCUUUUCUCCACAGCCGAAAAUGGUGGUAGCUUUCCAAAGCCAAAUCAAUGGCUUUUGGAAAGUCACCAAAGCAUUCCAUUUCCACCGCUUUUUCACUCCUUUAAAAGGGGUUCUUCCCCUCGGCCAAAAGUACCUGGUUCUUCUACCUCUCUAAAUCUUUCUCACUCUCUAAAGUUCUGUGUGAACUAAGUGGUAGGUCUCUGUGACCGUGUUUGUGAGAGAUCUCCGUGAUCUGAAGUUGUGGUGUUGCUCAGUGGUGGUGCAACCGUGAUUGUGGGUGCGGUGCCUAGUGACCAUGUUCCCUUAUUUUGGUUUGGAUCUGGCUAUUCUGAGCCUAUCUCAUCUUUAGACUGAUUCUUUAUUAUUUUGUUUAUUAUCAUUAUUUGUAAUUUGUAAUAUUGGCCUGUAAUUAUUUAAAGAGUUUCGUACUCCAAUUCUAUAAUAGUUGGUUAGGUUAUUUUGAAAAGAAUUACCACAAAGGGGUUGAAUCCUCCGUACAGUGGUAUCAGAGCCUCGUCUCUGAUCCUCGUCUCGCUUUGGUGGUGUGACGUGGAUAAAGAAGCCAAACACUCUCUCAGCAAAUCCCCAAAUCAAAACACAUCUCAGCAAAUCAAAACCCGUCUCCCCCAAAUCGAAGAACUCAGCAAACCCUUCCCCCCCAAAUCGCCUUCUCUCUCUAAAAUUCCUUCAAUGUCCGCUGUUACAAGUUCGAACGAGUGUCAUUGUGGAAGACCCACAGUGAUGCGAACCGCGUGGACGAACGAGAACCCGGGAAGAAGGUUUCACUCAUGCCGGCAGUACAAGAGAGGAGGGUCUAGGUUUUUUGCAUGGGAGGAUCCCGUAAUGUGCCAAAGGGCUAGGGCCAUUAUUCCAGGUUUGUUGAAAAGAAUAAAUGGCCUGGAAGCAGAGGUUGAAGUGCUGAGGAAGAGAAACAAGAAAAAUAAAAAAAUCUUUGUUGGUUUAGCUUUGCUUUUGAUGAUUUUGUGUUGGUUGU